rnacentral:tRNA from 1 species
GGUGCAGUAGCUCAGUUAGGUAGAGCAUGCGACUGAAAAUCGCAGUGUCGGCAGUUCGAUUCUGCCCUGCACCA